rnacentral:tRNA from 1 species
UCCUCGGUAGUAUAGUGGUUAGUACCCGCGUCUGUCACGUGCGAGACCCGGGUUCAAUUCCCUGACGGGGAG